rnacentral:rRNA from 1 species
AUUGAACGCUGGCGGCAGGCCUAACACAUGCAAGUCGAACGAGUGGCGGACGGGUGAGUAAUGUCUGGGAAACUGCCUGAUGGAGGGGGAUAACUACUGGAAACGGUAGCUAAUACCGCAUACCAUCGGAUGAGCCCAAGUGGGAUUAGGUAGUUGGUGAGGUAAAGGCGAACCAAGCCGACGAUCUCUAGCUGGUCUGAGAGGAUGACCAGCCACACUGGGACUGAGACGCGGCCCAGACUCCGACGGGAGGCAGCAGUGGGGAAUAUUGCGCAAUGGGGGCAACCCUGACGCAGCCAUGCCGCGUGAAUGAAGAAGGCCUUCGGGUUGUAAAGUUCUUUCGGUAGCGAGGCGUUAACUACAGAAGAAGCACCGGCUAACUCCGUGCCAGCCGCCGCGGUAAUUC